UCUUCUGGUGGCUUUGUGGUUAAAGCGUCCACCUCGGGUGUGGGAGGUCGCGGGUUCGAACCCUUGCCGAGCCAUGCCAAAGAC